UUGAAUUGCUCUUCCUGCAGGUUAGCAACGGUUCACUCGGAUGUAAAUACUCAAUAUUCAAAGGAGUCCUUAUGCCGGGUAGUAUCACCGGCAUCAAUGAAGAAUAGUUCAAAUAGUAAAAUUACGCAUCCAUAUAGACUUUGUGCGAUGGAAUCAGCGAACAAUCAUUAUCCGAAUGUUCAGCUUAUUAAUAAUCAUUUGAUACGCCAGCAGUCCCUCCAGUAUCUAACUCCGGAGGUGCUUUUUACGUGAGCCCCAAUUCAGGGCCAAGAUAUGAAGUCAAAAUUGGAGCACUCACACCAUCUCAUUUUCCAGUUUACCCCGCAGACUCCAUGGGCUCAGAAGCCUCCGCUAAGACAUCACACCCCGGAUUGUCCAAACCCUGCACGGCGUAUAGUUUAGAGUUCUCCCAACCGGUCGAACUUCCCGUCUCCGGAACAGACAAUGGCACGGAGUAUGGCUUGAAAUGCACGAAACGAGAGCGAAAAAAUUGGUGUCUCGUGGAAAAAAUCCGAAAUUCUCAUGAAAACGAACUAUUAAAGGACCUAAAUGAUGAUCCUCAUUUUUGCUACUGACGUACCAGCUCGUGGGGUCAAAGGUGACGAAAAUCCUUUCUCUAAACUCACAGCAGACGAUAAGAUACGGCUGGUGGAAGAGUUAAAAAAAGAAAUGCCUCUUGGGGAAUGCGCCUUCAUCGAGCGAUUGCAUAGUUUAGAAGAAGAGUUGGACGAAACUGGAUUUCUUGAUUAUUGAUUGACACCGUCCAAUUUCACCACCGUCGUCACAUCUGUUCUUUCUGUAAUGGUACGUGAGUAUCAUCUUUUGUUUUUAAAUUUUUUUACGUAAGUACAACGGACUUACGUCUAUCAGCUUUGUUUUUUUAAACAAAGU
rnacentral:lncRNA from 1 species